rnacentral:rRNA from 1 species
GACGAACGCUGGCGGCGUGCUUAACACAUGCAAGUCGAGCGGUAAGGCCCUUUCGGGGGUACACGAGCGGCGAACGGGUGAGUAACACGUGGGUGACCUGCCCUCAGCUCUGGGAUAAGCCUGGGAAACUGGGUCUAAUACUGGAUAUGACUCCACGGUGCAUGUCGUGGGGUGGAAAGCCUUGUGCGGCUGAGGAUGGGCCCGCGGCCUACCAGCUUGUUGGUGGGGUGAUGGCCUACCAAGGCGACGACGGUAGCCGGCCUGAGAGGGCGACCGGCCACACUGGGACUGAGACACGGCCCAGACUCCUACGGGAGGCAGCAGUGGGGAAUAUUGGACAAUGGGCGAAAGCCUGAUCCAGCAAUGCCGCGUGUGUGAAGAAGGCCUGC